AUGGCUAACCAUUGUUCUCAUUGCAGCGUGCUCGCCCACACGAGUCAACAUGAACUUGACAUCACAGAAGACCAACUGGCAACUGCAAUUGUGUAUUUCACCGGUGUGGUAACAAACUGUUAUACUGUAGAAAAUCACCUGGAAUGCUUUAACACAGAGGUUACAAAACUGAUUGAACAGAUUGAAACUGCCCUUGAAGAGUACUAAGGAUUUCAGAUGAGCAAUGUGAGAAUGCUGGAGCUAAAGGCCCAAUAUGCCAAGGCACCCCUGGUGUUGCUUGCUUUCUGAUUAAAUGGAAACCUGGAAUUUGAUUUUUUUUCUGUGACUUUUCACCUUCCAUGACAGUGCAAAUGAAGAAAAUGAAUAAAAUAUUUCAAUACGAUCCUCCUCUGGCA
rnacentral:lncRNA from 1 species